NNNNNNNNNNNNNNNNNNNNNNNNNNNNNNNNNNNNNGUGGGGAUGGGGGGCAUCAUGGGGGCACCAUGGGGAUGGGGACAUCGUGGGGACAUGGGGAGGAUGGGGGACACCGUGGGGACACCAGUGGGAUGGGGACAUCGUCAUGGGGUCACCACGGGGUUGGGGACACCGUGAGGACACCAAAGGGAUGGGGACAUUAUGGGGUUGGGGGGCAUCAUGGGGGCACCAUGGGGAUGGGGGCACUGUGGGGACAUCAUGGAGAUGGGGGACAUCGUCAUGGGGACACCACGGGGUUGGGGACAUCAAUGGGAUGGGGACAUCAUCGUGGGGGCACCAUGGGGAUGGGGACAACGUGGGGACAUGGGGAGGAUGGGGGACACCGUGGGGACAUCAAUGGGAUGGAGACAUCAUGGGGUCACCAUGGGGUUGGGGACAACAUGGGGACACCAAAGGGACGGGGACAUUAUGGGGUUGGGGGGCAUCAUGGGGGCACCAUGGGGAUGGGGACAUCGUGGGGACAUCAUGGAGAUGGGGGACAUCGUCAUGAUGACACCGUGGGGUUGGGGACACUGUGGGGACACCAAAGGGACGGGGACAUCAUGGGGUCAGGGGGCACCAUGGGGGCACCAUGGGGGUGGGGACAUCGUGGGGAUGGGGACAAUGUGGGGAUGCCAAUGGGAUGGGGGACGUCAUGGGGAUAUGGAGAAGGUGGGACACCAAUGGGAUGGGGACACGAAGAGCACGGGGGACACCAUGGGGACAUUGUGGGGCUGGGGACGUCAGUGGGAUGGGGACACCGUGGGGACAUCACAGGGUUGGGGGACAUGGUCAUGGGGACACCAUGGGGACAUUAUGGGGAUGUCGUGGGGAUGGGGGACGUUAUCAUGGGGUUGGGGACACCACGGGGACAUCGUGGGGACACGGGGAGGAUGGGGGACAUCGCAGGGACACCGAGGGAUUUCCCCAGAGCACCACAGAGCUGCGAGCUUCCCCACAGCAGUGCCACAGCCUUCCCUAUAGCUCCACCAUGCUGCGAGCUUCCCCAUGACAGUGCCAUGACGUUCCCAGUCAUGCUGUGAGCUUCCCCAUAGCAGUGCCACAGUGCUGUGAGCUUCCCCAUGACAGUGCCGCGACCUUCCCCAUAGCCCCUCCAUGCCGUGAGCUUCCCCAAGACAGUGCCACGGCCUUCCCAGUC
rnacentral:lncRNA from 1 species